CCUACGGGAGGCAGCAGUGGGGAAUAUUGCACAAUGGGGGAAACUCUGAUGCAGCAAUGCCGCGUGCGUGAAGAAGUCUCUCUGUAUGUAAAGCUGUAUCAGCAGGGAAGAAGACCUCGGUACCUGUAUUCGACUCCCCGGCCAAUUCCGGACCAGCUGCCGCGGUAAUACGGAGGGUGCAAGCGUUAUCCGGAUUGACGGGGCUUAAAGGGAGCGCAGACGGGUGGGCAAGUCCGGUGUGAAAGCCCGCGGCCCAACCGCGGAACUGCAAUGGAAACUGUACGGCUGGAGUACUGGUGGGGCAGGCGGAAUUCGUGGUGUAGCGGUGAAAUGCGUAGAUAUUACGAAGAACCCCGAUGGCGAAGGCAGCUUGCUAGACAGUGACUGACAUUGAUGCUCGAAAGUGUGGGGAGCAAACAGGAUUAGAUACCCGGGUAGUC
rnacentral:rRNA from 1 species